rnacentral:lncRNA from 1 species
GAUUAACCCCUGCCAAUCGGAGGUCUAUGGGAAACAGGGUGUCCCUGUGCCACCCAGGCUGGAGUGCAGUGUUAUGAUUUCACCUCACUGCAACCUCUACCUCCCGGAGUUCUAGCGAUCCUCCCACCUCAGCCUCCUGAGUAGCUGGAAUUACAGGCAUGCAUCACCAUGCCCAGCUAAUUUCUUGUAUUUUUAGUAGAGAUGGGAUUUCGCUAUGUUGGCCAGGCUGGUCUCGAACUCUUGACCUCAGGUGAUUGGCCCACCUCGGCCUCCCAAAGUGCUGGGAUUACAGGAGUGAGCUACUGAGCCCGGCCUGAUCUACAUUUUGAUUGCGCUGUUGGUUAUACAGAUGAGGGGACUGAAGCUCAGAGAGUUGCCAAGGACUGAGACCCAAGUAUCCUGACUCCAAAGACCAAGUGUUCAUCUACCUUACCCCAGGAUCUACCACGAGAGUUAAACUGGUGGCUUUGGGGAAGAAGGAUGAGCCCAACCUAGCUUCAGCUGACUGCCCUCUUUCAACUUGUCCCUGCUCCUCCCACCCUUCUCCCUCCACACACACAUUUAAUGCAGCUUCUAACAUGUACUGAUAACAUUAUUACCUUCUCUUCAGGGAAAUUCUGAGAAUGCUCUUGUUAUUUAAAAAGUUGAUAAAUUCUGUCCAUUUGCAGUCAUAGUGUUGUAUAGUACCUUAUUUAGAGUUGUGAGUAUUUAUCUGUUAUAGAAGAACUGCCGUAUACAUCCUUAAGUCACGGUAGGAAAUAUUCCAAAUUAGAACAUCCACUCCAG